rnacentral:rRNA from 1 species
CGUGAGCAAUCUACCUUGGAGUGGGGAAUAACACAGUGAAAACUGUGCUAAUACCGCAUAAUACAACUGUGUCGCAUGGCAGUGGUUGUCAAAGAUUUAUCGCUCUGAGAUGAGCUCGCGUCUGAUUAGCUAGUAGGCGGGGUAAAGGCCCACCAAGGCGACGAUCAGUAGCCGGCCUGAGAGGGUGAACGGCCACAUUGGGACUGAGACACGGCCCAAACUCCUACGGGAGGCAGCAG